rnacentral:lncRNA from 12 species
GUACAGUACAAGCACAGUACAGGUACAGUUCAGGUACAGUACAGGUACAGGUACAGGUACAGGUACAGGUACAGUGCAGGUACAGGUACAGGUGCAGGUACAGUACAGGCACAGUGCAGGUGCAGUACAGGUACAGUUCAGGUGCAGUACUGUAGAGUACAGGUGUAGGUGCAGUUCAGGUGUUCCUGCAGCGCCUGACGGACAGCGUGCGCAGCGAGGGCUUCUGCUUCACCUACCUGCCCAGGGACACUGGGAAUUACAGGAAAUGGGCAGCGGGAGUACCGGGAAUAACGAGGGGGGGCACUGGGAAUACCGGAGAUAACAACUGA